GGAAAUAAGCAGGCAGCCUCGUGCAGUUUUGAGCAGGGGCCGAGAUCAGAGGAGGCGGGCGGCGGGGGCCCCACAAAGGGGCGACUGGAAGCCGGAGCUGUCUCUCCGCCCGGUCGGGCACGGGGCGCGGCAGGCGAAGGCUGCUUCUUUGACCUGGGCGCAGGCUGGAAACCCCGGUCUUGCUGUCUCUUUUCUUAUCUACCACGUUCCCCCGGCCAGGGCUGCCUGGGGUGGCUCCUGUUAUUGUGGCCGCUUUUGGAGACGGUGGUUGAGACCCUCGGACGAACGGUCAAGCCGAUUGUAAAUGCUCUUAUUUCCCUAUUCUUCAGGGACACCAGCCCCAACGAAACACCUUGGGCGAUUUCAAAGCGCAGGCACCUCGAUUCCCCGAAUUUGUGGUGUGGCCGGUAUCGGUGUUCCCUUGGUUUAACUAGCCUGUCUGAAGGCGAAGAUCAUACUUGGGCAAGUACAACCGAAACCAGUCCUCCCCUGGCCCCUCCACCCCAAGGGUCUUCAUUUUCCCAAUCUACAUCUGCCUGUGACUCCAGAAAGACAAGCUUCAGAUUGGCCAAGUCCUUUCUGGCCCAAGUCCGGAGCUCUGGAAGGUCAAAGUCUAGCUGCUGGUGUCAUCUCCAAGCCCUUGGUUGUCAAUCCUGAGACAGAUUGGAAUUUCCGCUCAAGGCUUGAUCAACUCACAAUUCUCCAAGUUGGAGGUGCAUCCGGGAGAUGGCAGCAGGUGGUGAAAGUGUGACCCCCACUUUGUCUCCAGGUAUGGGUCUGGCACACUUUGACUUGUCGGCAUAGCUGGCAAACAACCCAUCUCUCUCCCACAUUAAAGAAUCCACACUUCUUUGUUUCUUCCAGGCCCAGCUUAAAUUCCACCUCCUCCAGGAAGCCUUUCCAGGUAUUGCUUCCCUUCUCUUUGCUCCCCCAAAUGAAGUCUCUUUUCUUCUGAACUCUUUUCUAGUGCUCCUCCCCAUAUUCCCUCUGGUAGGUCUCUGGGCACCUAUCUUUCACCUCCUGUGAGUGUGGGUUCCUUGAGAGCCCAAUCAAUGCAUUGUACCCGGUAGAUGCUUAAACAGCUUGUGUAAAAGGGAUGACUUAGAGAACUCGGGUGAAUUCCGCAUAUCCCAAUUGCAAUCGGAUUGGUUUUCUUUAUUUUGAAAGCGACUGGAGCUAGUAGAGGAGUUGGACGUCUUCCAUUAGGCAACAGAACUUCAUCUCCACGCCCUAGAGAGAAGCAGGGAAGGCUUCCUCCGGAUGGAUCGCGCUUGCAAGGGGUCUCCGUCAGCCGUCGUUGGAUCCGAGCGUGGGACACCCAGCCCCAGCCUGGCCUUCCCGGGUCGCCCCUCUCCACGUCCUGAGCUCCCGAGUCAGAGCUGGGCAGGGCGGACUCUGGGCUUCCCACGGACUGGCUGCGCGACCUCGGACAAGCUCCUCGGUCUCUCUAAGCCUUAGUUUCCCCAUCUGAACAGUGGGGAAUGACACCGACCUCGAGAGUGUGCAGGGAAGGUUAAACGAGAUGAAGGUGCACGAAAGAUCGAGACGCCUGACGCACAGGCUGCGCUCAAUAAAUGUUUAUGCAUUUUCUCUUCCCGUCUCUUA
rnacentral:lncRNA from 1 species